GCCCUGGGCCGGGGUGCUGCGGGAAUGCUCUGUCCCACUGGUCCCCUGCACUGAGGAUGUUCCGUUGUGGGUGUGGGAACUGCUGAAAUAGGAGUGUUUGAACCUGGUCACGAGGCUGUGCCUGUAUGGAAACAUCGCAAGUUUUUGUCAACAAGUUUCUAUUCUGACAUUUUCCAAAUAUCCCCUGGGAGAAGUCCAAGCAGCCUGCGGCUCUGGGGAUGCCAACACCUUGGCACUUCGCCUGGGCGCCGAGGGAGUGGAGGUGCCUGGUCGUCCUGUCACGUUCGACUCGGAGGUGUUUUUCUUGCCCUGGGUUAAUUAAAAAUCCCGGUCCAGACUUCAGAGACUGAAGGUCUACAGGGGCAAGCAACAAAGCACAUGCAGAUUUCCAGGCUGAGUAUGCGUUGCUGGGGCCGUGGCUGCAAAGAGAAGCAACUGUGUGGGCAGCUGAUGAGGAGUCUGUCCAGCUGCCAUCACGUCUUGCUGGUGCACAAAGGCUCUGGUGUGACAACCCUGUGCUUCUAGAGAUCGCUGACUUUUGGAGACAUGGCUGCCCAGACCGUGCUAUAUCCUUCCUACAGCCUGUGGGUUCAUGUGAGGCUGCCUGCCAAAAGCUCUGCCUGUGCUACCCCAAAGCUCUCUAAUUCCAGCUUGAUUUUAGCAAUUCCUUGGUUUCUCCAAUCUCUCCUUUGGAUAUGUGCCUGACCGGAAUGACAGCAGCUGGAGACAUCUCCAGGGUUUUGUCUAGAAAAGUGAGACGAGGAGGCUUUAUCACAUGCUCAGCUGAAUUGCCGUAAAUGGGAUAACAGCUGGAAAGUCGAGUUAAUUUGUACCAAUGGUCAUUUAAAGUGUUUGCCAAAGCUUAUGGAUAAGAAAAGCAUCUGUGCAAACUGUU